rnacentral:rRNA from 1 species
UGGGGAAUAUUGCACAAUGGGGGAAACCCUGAUGCAGCGACGCCGCGUGAGCGAUGAAGUAUUUCGGUAUGUAAAGCUCUAUCAGCAGGGAAGAAAAUGACGGUACCUGACUAAGAAGCACCGGCUAAAUACGUGCCAGCAGCCGCGGUAAUACGUAUGGUGCAAGCGUUAUCCGGAUUUACUGGGUGUAAAGGGAGCGUAGACGGAUGGGCAAGUCUGAUGUGAAAAAACCCCGGGGGCUCAAACCCCGGGCAGCUGCAUUGGAAAACUGUUCAUCUAGAGUGCUGGAGAGGUAAGUGGAAUUCCUAGUGUAGCGGUGAAAUGCGUAGAUAUUAGGAGGAACACCAGUGGCGAAGGCGGCUUACUGGACAGUAACUGACGUUGAGGCUCGAAAAGCGUGGGGAGCAAAACAGGAUUAGAUACC